AGUGAACGCUGGCGGUAGGCCUAACACAUGCAAGUCGAGCGGCAGCACAGUAAGAGCUUGCUCUUACGGGUGGCGAGUGGCGGACGGGUGAGGAAUACAUCGGAAUCUACUUUUUCGUGGGGGAUAACGUAGGGAAACUUACGCUAAUACCGCAUACAACCUACGGGUGAAAGCAGGGGAUCUUCGGACCUUGCGCGAUUGAAUGAGCCGAUGUCGGAUUAGCUAGUUGGCGGGGUAAAGGCCCACCAAGGCGACGAUCCGUAGCUGGUCUGAGAGGAUGAUCAGCCACACUGGAACUGAGACACGGUCCAGACUCCUACGGGAGGCAGCAGUGGGGAAUAUUGGACAAUGGGCGCAAGCCUGAUCCAGCCAUACCGCGUGGGUGAAGAAGGCCUUCGGGUUGUAAAGCCCUUUUGUUGGGAAAGAAAAGCAGCAGGUUAAUACCCCGCUGUUCUGACGGUACCCAAAGAAUAAGCACCGGCUAACUUCGU
rnacentral:rRNA from 1 species